UGGGGAAUAUUGCACAAUGGGCGCAAGCCUGAUGCAGCCAUGCCGCGUGUAUGAAGAAGGCCUUCGGGUUGUAAAGUACUUUCAGCGGGGAGGAAGGGAGUAAAGUUAAUACCUUUGCUCAUUGACGUUACCCGCAGAAGAAGCACCGGCUAACUCCGUGCCAGAAGCCGCGGUAAUACGGAGGGUGCAAGCGUUAAUCGGAAUUACUGGGCGUAAAGCGCACGCAGGCGGUUUGUUAAGUCAGAUGUGAAAUCCCCGGGCUCAACCUGGGAACUGCAUCUGAUACUGGCAAGCUUGAGUCUCGUAGAGGGGGGUAGAAUUCCAGGUGUAGCGGUGAAAUGCGUAGAGAUCUGGAGGAAUACCGGUGGCGAAGGCGGCCCCCUGGACGAAGACUGACGCUCAGGUGCGAAAGCGUGGGGAGCAAACAGG
rnacentral:rRNA from 1 species